CGUAACACGUGGGCAAUCUGCCCUUCGAUGGGGAAUAACCCCGGGAAACCGGGGCUAAUUCCGCAUAACAUUCCGACAACUAACGUUGUUGGAUUCAAAGCCGUAAGGCGUCGGAGGAGGAGCCCGCGCACGAUUAGCUAGUUGGUGAGGUAAUGGCUCACCAAGGCUAUGAUCGUUAGCUGGUCUGAGAGGAUGGCCAGCCACACUGGAACUGAGACACGGUCCAG
rnacentral:rRNA from 1 species